UCUAAGGUCUCAAAGGUCAGUGUCUGCAA
rnacentral:piRNA from 1 species